rnacentral:lncRNA from 1 species
UAAGGUCUUUACAUUUCUUUUCAUCAUUUCUUUUUACAUCACAUUAGCUCAAAUGAAGCAUUACAUUCUUUGCUUUACAUCACUAGUCAUCAAAUACAAAAGAUGAUCAUAGGUAUACUACUACAAAAUGUAAAACUCGACUUGGUAGUCACUGUCAAAGGCGCGAUACCUUUACCGCAGUCGCUCGCCAGCUCGCUCGGUCCCGGCUCUGUGGAAUAGUGGGGUGAGAACUACAACAAAGUUCCCAGUGGGUUCGGCCCCAAUCUCACCGACUUUUCCACUAGAACUAACUCAGGCAUAAUAGAAAGGAUAAGCAAAAUAGUAGCCAAACUAUAAUGAUGAUGCUAAUAUGCCUGAACAAUAAAGCAGGAAGUAUGCUCAAUGUAAAUCAUGCAAGUAUGCAAGUUCUUUGUUCUUUACUCUUUGUUCUUUAACCUUUGUUCUUUGUUCUUUAAUCUCAAGGCUAACCCGGGGGUUUCGCGACAUUAACUUGCCCACAUUAAGUCCACCAUCGCAGGCCCUCAGCUGCCUACCACUAAGACUGUCCUUGGGUUUACUCCAACCCGUGAUGCAAAAACUCCGGAGCGCAUCGCUUGAGGAGGAGUGACCGCCCUUGAGCACGGAACUCAUAGCAAGUAUGAUCGAUCCUUAACUCUAAGGAUAUAUAGUUCAAUCAUUGUCUUUACACUAAUUCUAGUGUUCUUUACAUCACUUUAUUUUGCUAACUCUAGCAAUCAUUGUUCUUUAACUUUACUCGUUCUUUAUGUCACUUUCAUUUUCUUUCCCUGUCUCUAAUCAUUAUCAUUGUUCUUUGCGUCACAUUUCUUUUUGAUGCCACACACACUAACUCUAGUGUCACUUUUCUUUACAUUAUCAAAUGCCACUCGAUCUAUGUUUUAUUGUGUGACUUUGUUCUUUCAUCUCAUUGGGUGCUCACAUUAUAUCUCAUGCAUACAUAUAGGGUUAAAUAGGCUCUCAAACAUUUCAAAUAGCAUGUGUACUCACAUCAUGCAACAUUCACAUGUAUAUCAUCACAUUUACCCUAUAAUGCAUGCAACAAUAUAAAUAUAUGCUCAAUUGAAUGACACAUUAGGCAUAGAAGGAAUUCCAACAAGUUUGGAUAGCACCACCCAUCUCGCAGGCGUACUAGGAUGCUACAAUGAUUUUCUUGGGAUUUUUAGCCGCUUAGUUCGUCACCCGCGGCAAAACGAAGCCCCAUUAGGCCAUUUUGCUCAUAUCUUUACAUUGGCUUUUCGUAACGUCAAUCCGAGUGCACCAACGCGUCGGAAAUACCCCCAAUUAGGUUUCUAGAGAGUCAAUUUCGUUUUGAAACCCUCUUGAUCAAAAGCCCCAAAUUUGGGUGCCCUAGCUCAUAGCGUAUCAAAACCUAGGGUUUGAUCUCUUAGAGAAGCAAAAGUAACCUUCAAAUCAUCUAAAGGUUCUAUUUGAACCAUCCUUAACUCAUUCAAAACCCAUUUUAGGGUUUCACCAUGGGAAGGGUAGAAGCUUUCCUUUAUGCUCACCACCAAUACCAAAAUCCAUGGUAUUGAUCUCUAAAAGAAGCAAAAGAAAACUUCAAAUACUCAAUAGAUUCUAUUAAAACCAUUUCUAGAUCCAUCCAAACCCUAGUUGAGCUUUACCACUAUUGGGGUUCAAAGCUUACCUUGUAAGCUUUCCUUUUCCAAGCUAGGGAAGGAGAGGAGAGGUAUUCUUCUCCUCUUUGCCUUCUCUUCACCUUCUUCCUCUUCUUUUCCUUUCCUUUCUUUCUCUUCUUCUUCUCCUUUUUGUCUUCUAGAGAGAGAAAGAGAGAUGAGAGGGAGUGUGUGAGGGAGAGAAUGAGAGGAAAAAGCCCUCAAAGCCCUCCACUUAACCAUUAGGUUGCACAAAAGCAAAUAGGCCCCUCAACUUUCAUUUUAUUGAACUGCUCAAACUGGGCAAAUUUUGGGUUCGGGGACCGGUCUCCCCGACUUGGGACCGGUCCCAGAGAGCUGCUCCCUGCAGCUGCGCAGGGCUCCCCGCGAUGCAACCGGUCUCUCCCAGGGGGACCGGUCUCUCGGUGUCACGCCCCAAUCCACGCCAAUUCGGUCUGGUUUGGGUCACGUCAACAGACGCCGAACGGACAGAGCCUCCCCUGUCACGCCCCGAGACCGAUGCCAAUUUGGCCCGACCCGAGCACGUCAAACAGACGCCGAACGGACAGAGUUUCCCCUAUCCGCCCAAGGCUCAUCACAUGUACAAUUUCAAUAAGAAGUGCACUAGCGGAAACAUACACAAACGGCUUACACGAGGGUAAGCAAUAGCCAUCAGUGAAAGAAAGGAAAACUAAACAUACACAAGUAACAUGAUUCAUUUUAGAUCAUAUACAUUGCAUUCAUGUCUUACGCUUUGGAUUCCUUUUCAUUUCAUUACAUUACUUCAUCAUUUCUUUCUUACAUCACAUUUACCUCAAAAUAAGCUUACAUUCUUUUCUUUACUUUAUACAUUAACAUCUUAAAUCAUCAAAUACAAAAGAUGAUAAAAGGGAUAAACUGCUAACAAAAUAUAACCCAAUUCAGGUGGCCUCUGACUAAGGCGCGAUACUUUUACCUCGGUCGCUCGCCGGCUCGCUCGGUCCCGGCUCUGUGAAAAUAGUGGGGUGAGAACUACAACAAAGUUCCCAGUGGGUUCGGCCUCAACAUCACCGACUUUCCCACUAGGACUAACUCAGGCAUAAUAAAAAGGAUAAGCUGAAAUAUGGUAACCAAUCUAUAACAUGAUGCUAAUAUGCAUGAACAAAAGCAAGGAAUAUGCUCAACAUUAAUAGAUGCAGAUUAUGCAUGUUCUUUAGUUCUUUUCACUUUACUCUUUGUUCUUUAUUCUUUGUUCUUUGCUCUUUAAUCAUUAAGGCUAACCCGGAGGUUUCGCCACAUUAACUUGCCUCACGUUAAGUCCAUCAUCGCAGGUACUCACCAGCUAGGACCGUCCUUACGGGUCUACUCCAACCCGGAUGCAUAACUCCGGAGCGCAUCGCCCGAGGGGGAGCGACCGCCCUCGAGCACGGAACUCAACAGCAAGUAUGAUCAUAUCCUUAACUCAAAGGAUUAUAGUUCAAUCUUGACUUUACACUAGCUCUAGUGUUCUUUACAUCACUUUAUGUUGCAAACUCAUGCAAUAACAUUCUUUACAUUCUCAUUACUCUUGCUAACUCUAGCAAUCAUUGUUCUUUGCAUUUCUUUUACUUUUGCUAACUCUAGCAAUCACAUUCUUUACUUUUCUUUUACUUUUGCCAUCUUUAGCGUUCUUGUUCUUUACAUUUCUCGUUCUUAUUGCCCCACUUUACUUUAACUUUACACAUUGUCAUUUUCAUCAUUCUUUACAUCACAUUGGUUCUUUGCAUCACACUAACUCUAGUGUCUCUUUACUUUACAUUUUCAAAUGCCACUCGAUCUAUGUCAUUGUGCCACUCUGUUCUUUUGCUCACUUUGGGUGCUCACAUUUUCUCUCAUGCAUACAUCUAGGGUUUUGACAUUAUUAGGUUCUCAACCAUCUCAUUAUGCAAGUUGUGCUCACAAUCAUGCAAUCAUCACAUUUCAUCAUUACUUUACCCUAAAAUGCAUGCAACAAUAUAUAGAACAUAUGCUCAAAGAAUGACACAUUAGGCAUAGAGAGAAGUUCAAUGAGUUUGAGAAGCACCACCCACCUCGUAGGCUUUCAAAGGUGCUCCGAUGAUUUUCUUGGGAUUUUUAGAUGCUGCGUUCUUUACCUGCGGCAAAACGAACCCUUAUUAGGCCAUUUUGCCCAUAACUUUUCAUCGGCUUUUCAUAACGUUAAUCCGAGCGCACCAACGCGUCGG